UUGUAUUAGCACGUUUGCGCGGAGGGCUCUGAU
rnacentral:rRNA from 1 species